rnacentral:rRNA from 1 species
AGCGAACGCUGGCGGCAGGCCCAACACAUGCGAGUCGAACGGAUCCUUCGGGAUUAGUGGCGGACGGGUGAGUAACACGUGGGAACGUGCCCUUUGGUUCGGAACAACUCAGGGAAACUUGAGCUAAUACCGGAUGUGCCCUUCGGGGGAAAGAUUUAUCGCCAUUGGAGCGGCCCGCGUCUGAUUAGCUGGUUGGUGAGGUAACGGCCCACCAAGGCGACGAUCAGUAGCUGGUCUGAGAGGAUGAUCAGCCACACUGGGACUGAGACACGGCCCAGACUCCUACGGGAGGCAGCAGUGGGGAAUCUUGCGCAAUGGGCGAAAGCCUGACGCAGCCAUGCCGCGUGAAUGAUGAAGGUCUUAGGAUUGUAAAAUUCUUUCAGCGGGGACGAUAAUGACGGUACCCGCAGAAGAAGCUCCGGCUAACUUCGUG